rnacentral:rRNA from 1 species
AGAGUUUGAUCAUGGCUCAGAAUCAACGCUGGCGGCGUGCCUAACACAUGCAAGUCGAACGAGAAAGGGACUUCGGUCCUGAGUACAGUGGCGCACGGGUGAGUAACACGUGACUAACCUACCCUGGAGUGGGGAAUAACUGAGGGAAACCUUAGCUAAUACCGCAUAAUACCUACGGGUCAAAGGAGCAAUUCGCUUCAGGAGGGGGUCGCGGCCGAUUAGCUAGUUGGCGGGGUAAUGGCCCACCAAGGCAAUGAUCGGUAUCCGGCCUGAGAGGGCGCACGGACACACUGGAACUGAAACACGGUCCAGACUCCUACGGGAGGCAGCAGUGGGGAAUUUUGCGCAAUGGGGGAAACCCUGACGCAGCAACGCCGCGUGGAGGAUGAAAUCCCUUGGGAUGUAAACUCCUUUCGAUCGGGACGAUUAUGACGGUACCGGAAGAAGAAGCCCCGGCUAACUUCGUGCCAGCAGCCGCGGUAAUACGAGGGGGGCAAGCGUUGUUCGGAAUUAUUGGGCGUAAAGGGAGCGUAGGCGGUUUUGUAAGUCGUGUGUGAAAUCUUCGGGCUCAACCCGAAGUCUGCACACGAAACUGCAGGGCUUGAGUAUGGGAGAGGUGAGUGGAAUUCCUGGUGUAGCGGUGAAAUGCGUAGAUAUCAGGAGGAACACCUGUGGCGAAAGCGGCUCACUGGACCAUUACUGACGCUGAGGCUCGAAAGCUAGGGGAGCAAACAGGAUUAGAUACCCUAGUAGUCC